GAUGAAGAACGCAGCGAAAUGCGAUAAGUAGUGUGAAUUACAGAAUUCAGUGAAUCAUCGAAUCUUUGAACGCACAUUGCGCCCUUUGGUAUUCCUUAGGGCAUGCCUGUUCGAGCGUCAUUUAAACCUUCAAGCUCAGCUUGGUGUUGGGUGACUGUCCGCUUCACCGCGGACUCGCCUCAAAAUUAUUGGCGGCCGGUACAUUGGCUUCGAGCGCAGCAGAAACGCGAACUCGGGCCCGUCGUAUUGGCUCCCAGAAGCUAUCUUCACAAUUUUGACCUCGGAUCAGGUAGGGAUACCCGCUGAACUUAAGCAUAUCAAUAAGCGGAGGA
rnacentral:misc_RNA from 1 species